rnacentral:rRNA from 1 species
GACGAACGCUGGCAGCGUGCUUAACACAUGCAAGUCGAACGGAACGGCGCUUCUUUUGUGGGAUGCUCGAGUAGCGAGCGAAGGAGUAACGCCUGAGUAAGCUGCACUUGAUUGAGGGGUAUCCUCAUACCUGUUAGGCUAAUAACAGGUAGGAGCUCCUGCUUCAUGGCGAUAGGUGGAGAGUUUCGGCUGUUGGGGAUGGACUCUCGGCUUAUCAGCUUGUGGGCGGGGUAGUGGCUUACCAAGGCUUUGACGGGUAGCCGGCCUGAGAGGGUGACCGGCCACAUUGGGACUGAGGUACGGCCCAGACUCCUACGGGAGGCAGCAGUGGGGAAUAUUGCACAAUGGGCGGAAGCCUGAUGCAGCAACGCCGCGUGCGGGAUGACGGCCUUCGGGUUGUAAACCGCUUUCGCCUGUGACGAAGCGUGAGUGACGGUAAUGGGUAAAGAAGCACCGGCUAACUACGUG